rnacentral:lncRNA from 1 species
CAAAAGUACUCGUCAACUCAACGAGUGCCCAGUUAUCUUCUAAUAAUGGAUUUAUUUAAGUUAAAUUUCUCAUUAAUUAAUAUUGUAAUUUAUAUAUUUCAUUAAUUUUUUCCUAAUUUCGAGUGAGAUUAUAUAAAAAGCAAAAAAUGGAUCAGAUUAAAAACUCUAUGUUCUUGAUAUAUAAAGGUGAGUUGUCACCGCAACAAAAAGAAUCAGCAAAGCAAUCCGCCGUUCUCUUACAAUCAAACACAAAACUGAAUUCCUCACCCAGCAAAAAUGAUUUACCAGAAUUAUUCAUCAUCGGACACGUCGAACUUUAUCGAGUGGGAUUGCAUAUCAAUCUGCCCUCC